GACUCUCCCUAACUCUUCUUCAGUUCUGCUUCUUGGAACUAGCUGGAGAGAUUUCAGAGGCAACUUCAGUCAUGAGGUUUCUUUUCAUCACCUUUGCUUUGCUGCUUCUCUUCUAUGUUUCUUCAGGGCAACCUGAAGCCUGUAAGGAGAAUGGUGGCUUCUGCCAGAUUGGCCUCCAGAAAGAAUGUGUAUAUGGAAGUCUCCCAUACAACUGUGGCAUUAAUGCCAAAUGCUGCAAGCGUUCAUGGUGAAACCACCAAUGACAAGGUCCUGUGAAGCCCUGGGAGUUUAUUGCCAUGCUGUCUAACAAGAACUUUGCAAUAUUCAGCCAAUUAUAGCAUUAAUGGAAAAUGCUGUAAACAUUUAUGUAACAUUAAGAAGUGAAACAACAGUGUAAUUAAACAAUUUAAUGAAUUUGGAUCAAAUAUUUUGAAUUGUAUUUUG